UAGCGUAUAUUAAAGUUGUUGCGGUAAAAAAGCUCGUAGUUGGAUUUCUGUUGAGGACGGCCGGUCCACACUAUGUGUUGGUAUCUGGGCGAGCCUCAGCAUCCUCUCGUCGAACGUUUCUGCGCUUGAUUGCGUGGAGCGGUUUACGGGACUUUUACUUUGAGGAAAUUAGAGUGUUCACGGCAGGCUAUCGCCAGAAUACAUUAGCAUGGAAUAAUACUAUAGGAUCUUGGUUCUAUUUUGUUGGUUUCUAGAAUUAAGAUAAUGAUUAAUAGGGACAAUUGGGGGCAUUCGUAUCAACACGUC
rnacentral:rRNA from 1 species